rnacentral:rRNA from 1 species
GAGGCGGCAAAAAAAAAAAAAAAAAAAAAAACCCCCGCCUCAAACCGUGGAAAAUACAUGGAAACGGCAAUUUGGAUUCAGCAGAGGAGGGUAGAAUUCCAGGUGUAGCGGUGAAAUGCGUAGAUAUCGGGAGGAAUACCAGUGGUGAAGGGGACUCUCUGGUCAAGGACUGACGCUCAGGCUCGAAAGGGUGGGUACCAAACAGG